AUGACUACUACUAUUUAUACUAAAACAUCCCAAGUAACCGUCGGGCAGUUACACUGCUUCGAGAUGAUUCCACUUGGCACGUUCUCAACGUUCGACGCUCCAGAUCUUUGCACGCUACACGUGGUAACUGCUGGAAACCGUUUUCUCUCCAAAAGCUUGAAUUUCAAACUGCUCCACUCUGAACCAUCGAACACUUUCGUCGAGAGAUAUCUUCGACGAGAAACUCCUUCGACGUCGAAGGCAACCAACUUCUACCUUGGAAGAAAUCUUCUAAGUACUUUGCCAUCUUUCGACGGGCAUUUCGACAGACUUAGCCAGUCGAAAACAUCCUUCAGCUUUAAUGGCUGA